UCUGGUUUAACAUAUAUUAAAUGUGAAGGAUUGUAAAUCCUUUUAAAGCUUAUGCUAACUAGGU
rnacentral:tRNA from 1 species